ACUUUGAAGGAUGCAAGGAGAGA
rnacentral:piRNA from 1 species